AUUUGAUGUUAAAACAUUGUAUGAUUCAGCAUGAUUUUAAUUGGUUAACAACAUGUUUUUUAUGUUUAAAAUCCAUGUUGAAAAUCAUGUGUUAUUCUGGAAAUUAUUGUCACUGCCAGUCAGACAAUCGAUUGUUGCCUUAAACAAUCGAUUGUCUGAGACGUUAAAUAUUCUGGCAGUUAUUUUGGAACACCAGACAACCGAUUGUUAAAGCCUG
rnacentral:lncRNA from 1 species